UGGGGAAUAUUGCGCAAUGGGCGAAAGCCUGACGCAGCAACGCCGCGUGAGGGAUGACGGCCUUCGGGUUGUAAACCUCUUUCAGCAGGGAAGAAGCGAAAGUGACGGUACCUGCAGAAGAAGCACCGGCUAACUACGUGCCAGCAGCCGCGGUAAUACGUAGGGUGCAAGCGUUGUCCGGAUUUAUUGGGCGUAAAGAGCUCGUAGGCGGUUAGUCACGUCGGAUGUGAAAACCCGGGGCUUAACUCCGGGCCUGCAUUCGAUACGGGCUGACUAGAGUGUUGUAGGGGAGACUGGAACUCCUGGUGUAGCGGUGAAAUGCGCAGAUAUCAGGAAGAACACCGGUGGCGAAGGCGGGUCUCUGGGCAACUACUGACGCUGAGGAGCGAAAGCGUGGGGAGCAAACA
rnacentral:rRNA from 2 species